rnacentral:lncRNA from 1 species
AUGGGAAGGGGCAAAAGCGCUGGAGGCCUGGCUGUGCCUCCGACCCGUCACCCGCCUCUGGCUCAGUUCCCUUGGAGGAGUCCCCAUGCGGUCCCCUGGGAAGUUCCAGCCCCCCCCUUGUCCACUCUGGAGACUUUCCCCGGGUUCUCCUUCCCAGUGGGGUGGGUGACCAGGCAGGGAGAGGCGGCUCCUCAGCAUCCUGGUGGCACACACUGCUCCCACCGUGGCCACGCCGCGGUGAUGCCCGUGUGGCCACGCUCCUCGACAGCCAUCCUGGCCACCGUCAUGGCCUCAGCCCCGGCUCAGAGGUUCUGCUGCCCGUGGCCUUCACCCGGUGGCUACGGUGGGAGCGGAGGGCAGCGUGCUUCCCCGAGGGGGACGGCGGGGCUGGCGGUGGCCGCAGGAGCCGCGUGCUCUGGAUUCCCCGUCCUGCCGUCACUUCCCAAAAAUGACUCGCUCGAGAGCGUGAAGGGUCCCGGGGGAGAAUCGAGGGCAGAGACGGGGAGGCACAGGUGGGGAGGGGGAUUCCUGAGCCCUCCUCCCGUGGGACCGGCCCGGGAAGUCCCCACAGCGCAGGGCACCGGCCACAUUUCCCAGCGCUCCCCGGUGCCGGUGCCCGGGCGGCGGGGCUGGUCAGUGCGGGUGCUGCGGGUUGGGGCGGCCGCGGGGCCCGGCCCGUGCGCUGGGGGGUGCGACGGCAACGGGGAGGGCCCGGACCGGCCCCGGGCUUGGCCACCUCACCUCGCCCCACCCCGGUGCCAGUCCCGGGCCCGGUCUGGUACCGACCACUUGGCUCUAUCCCUCCCCGGUCGCAGUUCCAAUCCCGGUCCCGGCCACCCUGCCCUGCCCUGUUCCCUGUCACAGUCUCGGUAUGGUCCCAGUCCUUUUCUGGUCCCGGACACCUCGCCCCGCUCCCGGUCUUGGUCCCGGUCCCAGUCCCGGUCUGGUACCGACCACUUGGCCCUAUCCCUCCCCGGUCGCAGUCCCGAUCCCGGUCCCGGCCACCCCGCCCUGCCCUGUUCCCCGUCACAGUCUCGGUAUGCUCCCGGU